rnacentral:rRNA from 1 species
GACGAACGCUGGCGGCGUGCUUAACACAUGCAAGUCGAACGAAGUGGCGCACGGGUGAGUAACGCGUAAUCAACCUGCCCUUCCGAGGGGGAACAAAGUUGGAAGCGACUGCUCAUACCGCAUACUGAAGGAGGGAGUUGGGUCUGAUUAGCUAGUUGGAGGGGUAACGUCCCACCAAGGCUAUGAUCAGUAGCCGGUCGGAGAGGAUGAAUGGCCACCUUGGUACUGAGACACGUCCCAGACUCCUACGGUAGGCAUCAGUGGGGAAGCUUCCGCAAUGGACGAAAGUCUGACGGAGCAACGCCGCGUGAGUGAUGACGGCCUUCGGGUUGUAAAGCUCUGUUAAUCGGGACGCGGUACCGGAAUAGAAAGCCACGGCUAACUACGUGCCAGCAGCCGCGGUAAUUC